rnacentral:rRNA from 1 species
UACAGAGGUCUCAAGCGUUUGUUCGGAUUUAUUGGGCGUAAAGGGUGCGUAGGUGGCGCUGUAAGUCGGGUGUGAAAUUUCGGAGCUUAACUCCGAAACUGCAUUCGAUACUGCGGUGCUUGAGGACUGGAGAGGAGACUGGAAUUUAUGGUGUAGCAGUGAAAUGCGUAGAGAUCAUAAGGAAGACCAGUGGCGAAGGCGGGUCUCUGGACAGUUCCUGACACUGAGGCACGAAGGCCAGGGGAGCAAACGGG